UAAAUAAAAUUGAGAAUGGAAAUGGGGAAUGUGUCAAAGAGACAACAACCCGACCAAAUAAAAAACAACAGCAGAAGGUCACCAACAGGUCUUCAAUGUAGCGAGAAAUUCCCGCACCCGGUGGCGUCCUUCAGCUGGCCCCUAAACAAAUAUAUACUAGUACAGUGAUAAUGAACGCCAUACUAAUUUCCAAAUUGUACACAAGAAACUAAAAUUAAAAUAAUACAAGAUUAACAAAGGCCAGAGGCUCCUGACUUGGGACAGGCGCAAAAAUGCGGCGGGG
rnacentral:lncRNA from 1 species